GUGCCCUUUGAAGUUUGCUGCAGCGCUUAAAGAGGCUAAUGCAGAAGGGUGUAUGUGUCUCCAUAAAACUCAGAGAAGAGAUCAGAUACCUCUUCUUUGGAUCCUGCCUGGAGUCUUAACG
ensembl:snoRNA